AAACCAGCACCUCAAGUGGUCAGGAUGAUUAUUGGGCCUAAAGCAUCCGUAGCCUGCUCUGUAAGUUUUCGGUUAAAUCUGUACGCUCAACGUACAGGCUGCCGGGAAUACUGCAGAGCUAGGGAGUGGGAGAGGUAGACGGUACUCGGGAGGAAGUGGUAAAAUGCUUUGAUCUCUCGAUGACCACCUGUGGCGAAGGCGGUCUACCAGAACACGUCCGACGGUGAGGGAUGAAAGCUGGGGGAGCAAACCGGAUUAGAAACCCGAGUAGUCC
rnacentral:rRNA from 1 species